GAGAAGAAUUCUAAUGUUGGUUCUUAGAAUUGGGCUGUAAACCCAUGGGUGAUUCACACUCUCGAGGGUUCAAUUCCCUCUCUUCUCA
rnacentral:tRNA from 1 species